rnacentral:lncRNA from 1 species
AGGAGAUGGGUCUCACUCUGUCACCCAGACUGGAGUGCAGUGAGUGGUGCGAUCAUAGCUUACUGCAGCCUGAAACUCCUGGGCUCAAGUGAUCUUCUCGCCUCAGCCUCCUGAGUAGCUGGAGCUACAGGUGUGAGCUACCCAGCAUGGCUCAUUUGAGAUUUCUGAGUAGAGAAGUAACAUGAUUAAACUUGGGUAUUGAGAUUAUUAUUUUGGCUGCUAUGUUAACAGUAGACUUGAAUGUGAAGGGGUUGGGCAAGGGCAGAAGCAGGGAGACAGGUUGGAAAGUUGGAGUGGGAAGGGCCUUUUUAAGAAUAACACAAACCCCUAAAGACAUAAAACUGAAAAGGCCAUGGAGGAAAAGGGCAAAUAUAAGUGAGCAAAUAAAUUUGUGUGGAUUAUUUAGAAAGUGUAGAUAUAAAUAAUUUUCAAAUAUGCUUUAGAACACUCUCCCACUCUGGGAAGAAAAUUUUAGAAAAAGGAUAACCCCUGCAUUUCUUUCCAUUAGAAGUACAUGAUCAAAAGACAAAGUCCCUUUUUCCCUUGACUGUGACAUAACAUGUCCCUCAUAGGCAACUGAACAGAUAAAAAAUCCAGACGAUGCUUAGUAAUUUCCUGCUUCCCCUUUAGUGCACAGUGUAUUAUCAGUAUGUUUUGCCCUCUUUAUUUAAUAUCUUGCUGAAUUAAAUUAUCUCAUCAGGUUUUUAAGCACAAGCCCAGCCUGCUUUCUGGAUGACACCUGCCACAGGUCAUCCUUCCUGA